CAGUAGCCACGGGAAAACGAAGGGGGCUAGCGUUGCUCGGAAUUACUGGGCGUAAAGCGCGCGUAGGCGGUUACUCAAGUCAGAGGUGAAAGCCCGGGGCUCAACCCCGGAACUGCCUUUGAAACUAGGUGACUAGAAUCUUGGAGAGGUCAGUGGAGUUCCGAGUGUAGAGGUGAAAUUCGUAGAUAUUCGGAAGAACACCAGUGGCGAAGGCGACUGACUGGACAAGUAUUGACGCUGAGGUGCGAAAGCGUGGGGAGCAAACAGGAUUAGAUACCCCGGUAGUCCCUGUCUCUUAUAC
rnacentral:rRNA from 1 species